GAUGAAGAACGCAGCGAAAUGCGAUAAGUAGUGUGAAUUGCAGAAUUCAGUGAAUCAUCGAAUCUUUGAACGCACAUUGCGCCCCUUGGUAUUCCAUGGGGCAUGCCUGUUCGAGCGUCAUUUGUACCUUCAAGCUUUGCUUGGUGUUGGGUGUUUGUCUCGCCUUUGCGUGUAGACUCGCCUUAAAAUAAUUGGCAGCCGGCGUAUUGAUUUCGGAGCGCAGUACAUCUCGCGCUUUGCACUCAUAACGACAGCGUCCAAAAGUACAUUUUACACUCUUGACCUCGGAUCAGGUAGGGAUACCCGCUGAACUUAAGUAUCUCAAUAGGCGGAGGA
rnacentral:misc_RNA from 1 species